rfam:Pelecanus crispus contig69573, whole genome shotgun sequence.
UUUAAGGCUUCAAUAGAAGCCACAGAAACAGAAAUCAAAUUUCUG